UACAGAGGGGGCAAGCGUUAUUCGGAAUUAUUGGGCGUAAAGGGCGCGUAGGCGGCCUGGCAAGUGGAAGGUGAAAUCCCUCGGCUUAACCGAGGAACUGCCCUCCAAACUGCUUGGCUUGAGUCCGGGAGAGGUGAGUGGAAUUCCCAGUGUAGCGGUGAAAUGCGUAGAUAUUGGGAGGAACACCAGUGGCGAAGGCGUCCAUCUGGCCCGUUACUGACGCUGAUGCGCGAAAGCUAGGGGAGCAAACGGG
rnacentral:rRNA from 1 species